rnacentral:rRNA from 1 species
GAUGAACGCUGGCGGCGUGCCUAAUACAUGCAAGUCGAGCGAACAGACGAGGAGCUUGCUCCUCUGACGUUAGCGGCGGACGGGUGAGUAACACGUGGAUAACCUACCUAUAAGACUGGGAUAACUUCGGGAAACCGGAGCUAAUACCGGAUAAUAUAUUGAACCGCAUGGUUCAAUAGUGAAAGACGGUUUAGCUGUCACUUAUAGAUGGAUCCGCGCCGCAUUAGCUAGUUGGUAAGGUAACGGCUUACCAAGGCAACGAUGCGUAGCCGACCCGAGAGGGUGAUCGGCCACACUGGAACUGAGACACGGUCCAGACUCCUACGGGAGGCAGCAGUAGGGAAUCUUCCGCAAUGGGCGAAAGCCUGACGGAGCAACGCCGCGUGAGUGAUGAAGGUCUUCGGAUCGUAAAACUCUGUUAUUAGGGAAGAACAAAUGUGUAAGUAACUAUGCACGUCUUGACGGUACCUAAUCAGAAAGCCACGGCUAACUACGUG